UGCCAGCCGCCGCGGUAAUACGGAGGGUCCGAGCGUUAUCCGGAAUCAUUGGGUUUAAAGGGUCCGUAGGCGGGAAUCUAAGUCAGUGGUGAAAUCUUGCAGCUCAACUGUAAAAUUGCCAUUGAUACUGGAUUUCUUGAAUUAGUGUGAAGUGGUUAGAAUGUGUAGUGUAGCGGUGAAAUGCAUAGAUAUUCGGAGGAACACCAAUUGCGAAGGCAGUUCACUGGACCGUGAUCGACGCUGAGGAGCGAAAGCUAGGGGAGCAAACAGGAUUAGAUA
rnacentral:rRNA from 1 species